UACAGAGGUGGCAAGCGUUGUUCGGAAUUACUGGGCGUAAAGGGCGCGUAGGCGGUCUUGUAAGUCCCGUGUGAAAUCCCUCGGCUCAACUGAGGAACUGCACGGGAAACUGCCUGGCUUGAGUUCGGGAGAGGGAAGCGGAAUUCCGGGUGUAGCGGUGAAAUGCGUAGAUAUCCGGAGGAACACCGGUGGCGAAGGCGGCCACCUGGACGGUAACUGACGCUGAGACGCGAAAGCGUGGGGAGCAAACAGG
rnacentral:rRNA from 1 species